UAAAUUCAAUAAUUUUUACCUUUGAUUCACAGGAAGUUUUGCAUUUGACCGAUGAUGAGAUUUUGCAACAUAUGAGAGGUGUUUUUCGAGAUGUGUUGGAUUGUUUCAACACAUUAUCUCCAGAGGUUGUGGAUGAGGGCAGCAGUGGAGCAGUGGUGUGACUUCUUUGCACGAGUGUGUUCUUUGUUGUCUGUUUGCACAAAUAUUCUAAUAUUUUUCGGUUAGUGCACGGACUAGCGAUUUCCUAAUGGUAUAGUUAACAAUGACUAGAAUUGGUAAAGGUGCAUCGGAAUUACAACUUGUUUCGUUCAUUCAGUAGUUUGGAUAAGCAUAUAUAAAUCUAUGGAUACACAUACAACAUAUGCUAGUGAAGGUCUAAGGCUCCUCAUGGUUUUCAUUA